rnacentral:lncRNA from 1 species
UUUUGUCACUUUGCCACUUAAACCUUCAUGCUUUGCGAGGAUACUAUAAUGGUCGCUGACAAGUAUUGUAUUUGCAAGAAAAUUAGGCGCGUCAUAAGUCCAAAAUCAGUAUAUUUGACGAUUUUUCUUCAUUAUUGUUUUCGAUGUUUUUUUUUUCUCUUUCUUCUUGUUUUCUUCUCUAUGCCAUAGAACUCAUCAGUCAUUUUCCCAUCUCCCCGGCUUCAUCACAUAUUCUCCUCACUUCUAGCACCUCCAUUCGAUUUUCGUUUCUUUCACUUUCUUCCUUUUUCUCCACUUCUUAAUAAUUACCUAAAAUAUUAAGAUUUUAAAUGUUUAUGAGUUACGAGUUAGAGUAAAAGAGGUUGAUUUUGAUGUCUCUAUCGUGGUAGUUUGAGGAUGUUUCUCUUAUUUUUUUUAGUCUGAUUGUGUUUAACUGGUGGUAAUGAUGAAUGCAAAGGAUGAUUUUUUCGGUUGAAGAUUAGCCGAAGAUAUUAGGAGAGGGGUAGCCGAUGACUUUCUGUUCAUUUUCGAAGCCGCUGCCAAAUUUCACUGAAAAGUGGAUUGUUUUGGAGUGGGUUGACUUUUGGUGGCUUUCUUUCUUGGAGAUGAUGGCUUUUCUUUUCUUCAGUGAUAUUUUCUGUUACAUUGCCGGAUUUCUCAUAUUUUAUCGGUGAGAAAGAUGGGAUAUUAGUAAGGCUGUAUUCGGUUCCGGUUCUGGGUCUAUUUGGGUCUGCGAUUCCGGUUCUGGCGGUUCCGGUUCUAGCGGUUAUGGCGGUUCCGGUUCUGGCGGUUCCGGAGCCAAAACCGCUACCAUACGGUUCCGGAACCGCGGUUCUGGCGGUUCCAGGCGGUUCCCGGCGGUUCC